GACGAACGCUGGCGGCGUGCUUAACGCAUGCAAGUCGAACGGAAAGGCCCUGCUUUUGUGGGGUGCUCGAGUGGCGAACGGGUGAGUAACACGUGAGUAACCUGCCCUUGACUUUGGGAUAACUUCAGGAAACUGGGGCUAAUACCGGAUAGGAGCUCCUGCUGCAUGGUGGGGGUUGGAAAGUUUCGGCGGUUGGGGAUGGACUCGCGGCUUAUCAGCUUGUUGGUGGGGUAGUGGCUUACCAAGGCUUUGACGGGUAGCCGGCCUGAGAGGGUGACCGGCACAAUGGGACUGGGGUAAGGGCCAGACUCCUACGGGAGGCAGCAGUGGGGAAUAUUGCACAAUGGGCGGAAGCCUGAUGCAGCAACGCCGCGUGCGGGAUGACGGCCUUCGGGUUGUAAACCGCUUUCGCCUGUGACGAAGCGUGAGUGACGGUAAUGGGUAAAGAAGCACCGGCUAACUACGUG
rnacentral:rRNA from 1 species